AUCUACGGCCAUACCACCCUGAACGUGCCUGAUCUCGUCUGAUCUCGGAAGCUAAGCAGGGUCGGGCCUGGUUAGCGCUUGGAUA
rnacentral:rRNA from 1 species